rnacentral:lncRNA from 1 species
UCUGACCUCGAUCUCCGGCGACGCCUCCCGCAAAAGCUCCUGCACUACCGCCCUGCGGUAGCCGACCACGAGAGGGGCUCGCCGCUUCCAGCGUCGGCGAGCAUCAACGCUGCUCACAGGGCAGAGGCGGAGAAAAAGUGAACGAAGAAAAAAUCGGAGCAAAAAUUGAAGAUACCUAUCGAUUACCAUGGGAACUUGAACUGCAAUAAUGUUUUUCGAAACUUGAAUCAAGUGAAGGGACAAUACAAGGGAUGGGGGAGAAGCUGGAUGUGGCAGUCAGAAUUUG